rnacentral:rRNA from 1 species
CUCUUGGUUCUGGCAUCGAUGAAGAACGCAGCGAAAUGCGAUAAGUAAUGUGAAUUGCAGAAUUCAGUGAAUCAUCGAAUCUUUGAACGCACAUUGCGCCCUUUGGUAUUCCGAAGGGCAUGCCUGUUCGAGCGUCAUUUCACCACU